ACUGUCAGUUCCGCCCUCGGUGUCGUCGGGUCGCCAGCUUCCUGGGCAGCCACCACUCUCCCGCCGUCGGACACAGCCUUCUGCACUCCUGUGUUCUCCUGCGGUCCGGACACAAUAGUAUGAACUUUAAGUGUUUCGUCUCCCAGCCAUUUUCUAUGGAAAAUCGAGGGGAUCGGGCCAUGGUAGCCACCGGCAGCUUUGAAGAACGAGACACCUUUAGAGAAGCUUGACCUUGGAGGCCUCAGCCUGAGACCUCAAAGCAGCCUCCAGAACUCCGGCAGAGUUCCUCUGUCUCGUCUUGCCGAUUGAAGGUCCCCGUUUCUCCAAUUUCUCUCCAUCUUCUGGGAGGUAGCAGGAAAUCAGAAUCAUGGUUGGUUUCAAGGCCACAGAUGUGCCCCCAACAGCCACUGUGAAGUUCCUGGGGGCUGGGACAGCUGCCUGCAUUGCAGAUCUCAUCACUUUCCCUCUGGAUACCGCCAAGGUCCGGCUGCAGAUCCAAGGGGAGAGUCAAGGGCUAGUGCGCACCGCAGCCAGCGCCCAGUACCGUGGCGUUCUGGGUACCAUCCUAACCAUGGUGCGCACUGAGGGUCCACGCAGCCUCUACAAUGGGCUGGUCGCCGGCCUGCAGCGCCAGAUGAGCUUUGCCUCCGUCCGCAUUGGCCUCUACGACUCUGUCAAACAGUUCUACACCAAGGGCUCAGAGCAUGCAGGCAUCGGGAGCCGCCUCCUGGCAGGUAGCACCACAGGUGCCCUGGCCGUGGCUGUAGCCCAGCCUACAGAUGUGGUAAAGGUCCGCUUCCAGGCUCAGGCCCGGGCUGGUGGUGGUCGGAGAUACCAGAGCACUGUCGAAGCCUACAAGACCAUUGCACGAGAGGAAGGGAUCCGGGGCCUCUGGAAAGGGACUUCUCCCAAUGUUGCCCGUAAUGCCAUUGUCAACUGUGCUGAGCUGGUGACCUAUGACCUCAUCAAAGAUACUCUCCUGAAAGCCAACCUCAUGACAGGGUAAAAACCCCACUUUGCACAUAAACAGGCGAGAUCAACAAAAAGACUCUGAAGUCCCCCUAAGAGAGUCUAGCUGUAGUCUGUCUUUAAAACAAUGAGACCCCUCUGCGGCAAUGGUGGGAUGCGGCUGGGAGAGCUGACAGCCUCUCCCCCUGCUUCAUGGCAGAUGACCUCCCUUGCCACUUCACUUCUGCCUUCGGGGCCGGCUUCUGCACCACCGUCAUCGCCUCCCCUGUUGAUGUGGUCAAGACGAGAUACAUGAACUCUGCCUUGGGCCAGUACCACAGCGCAGGUCACUGUGCCCUUACCAUGCUCCGGAAGGAGGGACCCCGCGCCUUCUACAAGGGGUUCAUGCCUUCCUUUCUCCGCUUGGGAUCCUGGAACGUAGUGAUGUUUGUCACCUAUGAGCAGCUCAAAAGAGCCCUAAUGGCUGCCUACCAAUCUCGGGAGGCACCUUUCUGAGCCUCUCCAUGCUGACCUGGACCCUGCUUCCCAGCCCUGCCCUGUCUUUUUCUUCAUCCUCUGCCCAGUCCCAUUCUCUUCCCAUUUCCUGCACCCCGAUUUACUUCCCACCUCACCUCCCUGUGCCUCUGUACUGAUGACUCACAGUGAGGAGGCCUGACACCAGACCCUGAGCCCUCAGCCCUUUCUACAGCUAAGCCCACAUCUUCAUCUUCAUCCCCAGCCCAGCCCAGCCCAGCUCAGCCAGCCUUCACCCAUAAAGCAAGCUCAAUGUU